CCCUUAGAUGUCCUGGGCCGCACGCGCGCUACACUGAUGCAUUCAACGAGUUUUACCUUGGCCGAGAGGCCUGGGCAAUCUUUUAAACCUGCAUCGUGAUAGGGAUAGAUUAUUGCAAUUAUUAAUCUUGAACGAGGAAUUCCUAGUAAACGCAAAUCAUCAAUUUGCAUUGAUUACGUCCCUGCCCUUUGUACACACCGCCCGUCGCACCUACCGAUUGAAGUUUUCGGUGAGCUUGCAGGAGGAAUUUUUUGAAACUGGUUCGCUAGUGGAUUUUUAUUCCAAAUGCUAACGAAUCGAUGGCUUUAGAGGAAGGAGAAGUCGUAACA
rnacentral:rRNA from 1 species